AGAGCGAACGCUGGCGGCAGGCCUAAUACAUGCAAGUCGAACGGAUCCUUCGGGAUUAGUGGCGGACGGGUGAGUAACACGUGGGAACGUACCCUUUGGUUCGGAACAACUCAGGGAAACUUGAGCUAAUACCGAAUGUGCCCUUCGGGGAAAAGAUUUAUCGCCAUUGGAGCGGCCCGCGUCUGAUUAGCUAGUUGGUAGGGUAAAGGCCUACCAAGGCUACGAUCAGUAGCUGGUCUGAGAGGAUGACCAGCAUCACUGGGACUGAGACACGGCCCAGACUCCUACGGGAGGCAGCAGUGGGGAAUAUUGGACAAUGGGCGCAAGCCUGAUCCAGCCAUGCCGCGUGGAUGAUGAAGGCCUUAGGGUUGUAAAGUCCUUUUAACGGGGAAGAUAAUGACGGUACCCGUAGAAUAAGCCCGGCUAACUUCGUGCCAGCAGCCGC
rnacentral:rRNA from 1 species